UAUCCAUGAGCAGGUUGAAGCUGGUGUAAGAGCCAGUGGAGGACCGAACCCGCUGGCGUUGAAAAGUCUUGGGAUGACUUGUGGAUAGGGGUGAAAGGCCAAUCAAACUCAGUGAUAGCUGGUUCUCUCCGAAAUAUAUUUAGGUAUAGCCUCGAGCAGUAGCAUGAAGGGGUAGAGCACUGACAGGGCUAGGGCUGCUUACCGCGGUACCAAACCCUAUCAAACUCCGAAUACUUCAUGUGUAACCUCGGGAGUCAGGCGGUGGGUGAUAAAAUCAAUCGUCAAGAGGGGAACAACCCAGACUAGCAGCUAAGGUCCCAAAGUCUUGUCUAAGUGGAAAAGGAUGUGAAGUUGCUGUGACAACCAGGAGGUUGGCUUAGAAGCAGCCACCCUUUAAAGAAAGCGUAACAGCUCACUGGUCUAGCGAUUUUGCGCCGAAAAUAUAACGGGGCUAAGACAAGCACCGAAGCUCUAGGUUGUAGUACAUCAUUAAGUUCUCAGAGAAGAGAUAUUCAAAGAGUUAUAUUUAAAACUUUACGGAGUGAAGUUUUAAAAUGCCUCAGGGGAUAAGAAGAGAUACUUAGGAUUUAAUGAUGUACUACAGCGGUAGGAGAGCGUUCCAGUCAGCGUAGAAGCCAUACCGGCAAGGAGUGGUGGAGCGGCUGGAAGUGAGCAUGCAGGCAUGAGUAGCGAGAAAAGAAGUGAGAAUCUUCUUCGCCGUAAACCCAAGGUUUCCUACGCGAUGCUCGUCAUCGUAGGGUUAGUCGGGACCUAAGUCGAGUCCGAGAGGGGUAGACGAUGGCAAAUCGGUUAAUAUUCCGAUACCGACUGUUGUUCGCUUGAGUGAUGGGGGGACGCAUAGAGUUAAUUGAGCUCACUGAUGGAAUAGUGGGUCGAAGGAUGUAGGUUGUAAGGUAGGCAAAUCCGCCUUACAUUAGACCGAGAUCUUACAGGCAGAGCAAUCUCUUCGGAGAGCGCUUUGAAUCAAUGAUACUGUCGUGCCGAGAAAAGCCUCUAAACGAGAACAGCAGUUGCCCGUACCGUAAACCGACACAGGUGGGUGAGAUGAGUAUUCUAAGGCGCGUGGAAGAACCCUGGUUAAGGAACUCUGCAAACUAGCACCGUAUCUUCGGUAUAAGGUGUGCCCUAUUUGUAAGUGGACUUGCUCCACGAAGCAUUGACGGGUCGCAGCAAAGUGUCCCUCCCGACUGUUUACCAAAAACACAGCACUCUGCUAACUCGUAAGAGGAUGUAUAGGGUGUGACGCCUGCCCGGUGCUUGAAUGUUAAAUGGAUUUGUUAGCUCUGCGAAGCAUUGAAAUGAAGCACAAGUAAACGGCGGCCGUAACUAUAACGGUCCUAAGGUAGCGAAAUUCCUUGUCGGUUAAAUACCGACCUGCAUGAAUGGCGUAACGAGAUGGGAGCUGUCUCAACCAGGGAUCCAGUGAAAUUGUAGUGGAGGUGAAAAUUCCUCCUACCCGCGGAAAGACGGAAAGACCCCGUGCACCUUUACUAUAGCUUGACAUUGCUAUUGGGAUAUUCAUGUGCAGGAUAGGUGGGAGCCGUUGAAUCUAUGACGCCAGUUGUAGAUGAGGCAUCCUUGAGAUACCACCCUUGAAUAUUCUGAUAGCUAACUGCGUACGAUUAUCUCGUAUCAGGACAAUGUCUGGUGGGUAGUUUGACUGGGGCGGUCGCCUCCUAAAAAGUAACGGAGGCUUACAAAGGUUAGUUCAUGGCGGAUGGAAAUCGCCAGUUGAGUAUAAUGGCAUAAACUAGCUUGACUGUGAGACAUACAAGUCGAACAGAGACGAAAGUCGGUCAUAGUGAUCCGGUGGUUCUGCGUGGAAGGGCCAUCGCUCAAAGGAUAAAAGGUACGCCGGGGAUAACAGGCUGAUCUCCCCCAAGAGCUCACAUCGACGGGGAGGUUUGGCACCUCGAUGUCGGCUCAUCGCAUCCUGGGGCUGGAGCAGGUCCCAAGGGUAUGGCUGUUCGCCAUUUAAAGCGGUACGCGAGCUGGGUUCAGAACGUCGUGAGACAGUUCGGUCCCUAUCUUCCGUGGGCGUAGGAGAGUUGAGGAGAGCUGACCCUAGUACGAGAGGACCGGGUUGGACGUGCCACUGGUGCACCAGUUGUUCUGCCAAGAGCAUCGCUGGGUAGCUACGCACGGAUGAGAUAACCGCUGAAAGCAUCUAAGCGGGAAGCCAACUCCAAGAUGAACUCUCCCUGAAGUACGCUUGAAGACUACAAGCUUGAUAGGCUGGAUGUGUACGCAGAGUAAUCUGUUUAGCUGACCAGUACUAAUAGUACGUUUGUCUUUUUUAC
rnacentral:rRNA from 1 species